rnacentral:rRNA from 1 species
GGGUUGGUGGAACUGGCAGUCUUGGCGUCACAGCCAGGUCUGCUGAAAAGCAGAGGCUUGAACAUGGACCCGUAAUGGGCAACAACUUGGUAGGCAUAUCGCCUCUGGCGGUGCAUCGUCUGAGUUGGUGCUUGGGACUGUGUUGGAGGCUUAACGCAGGAUUUGGUUGGCAACAACCGAAAUUCCAAUUUCGACCUGAGCCCAGGCAAGAUUACCCGCUGAACUUAAGCAUAUCAAUAAGCGGAGGAAAAGAAACUAACAAGGAUUCCCUUAGUAGCGGCGAGCGAAACGGGAAUAGCCCAACUUGAAAAUCUCCUUCGGAGAAUUGUAGUCUAUAGAAGUGCCCUCUGUAGCGGCAUGGUCCUAAGUUCCCUGGAAAGGGACGUCAGAGAGGGUGAGAACCCCGUCGGACCUCGCUUAGCUACCUCACGAGGUGCUUUCCACGAGUCGGGUUGCUUGGGAAUGCAGCCCUAAGCGGGUGGUAAAUCCCAUCUAAGGCUAAAUACUGGCGAGAGACCGAUAGCGAACAAGUACCGCGAGGGAAAGAUGAAAAGAACUUUGAAAAGAGAGUUAAGAAGUGCUUGAAAUUGUUGAGGGGGAAGCGUUUGAAAGUUAUGGGUGUGCCCAGGCUUAUGCAUCUCUAACGAGCUGCUGCAUGUGCUGGGCACUGGCCAGCUUGGGUUGGCCUUGCGGGAUAAACGCCAUGGUUGUUACAUGGUCAAUGCCGCAGGGGCGAUCAAGGCGUGAAGGGCGCUCAGUCUUUGAACUGCGUCCUCAAGAAGUUGGCGGAAGGCUUUUCAACUGACCCGUCUUGAAA